AUUUACAUGAGAGUUUGAUCCUGGCUCAGGACGAACGCUGGCGGCGUGCCUAAUACAUGCAAGUCGAACGGUUCUUUCUUUUGGAAGCUUGCUUCCGAUCGAGAGAAUAGUGGCGAACGGGU
rnacentral:rRNA from 1 species